UCCAGACUCCUACGGGAGGCAGCAGUGAGGAAUAUUGGUCAAUGGGCGGAAGCCUGAACCAGCCAAGUCGCGUGAGGGAAGAAGGCCCUGCGGGUCGCAGACCUCUUUGGACGGGGAGCAAGGCCGCCGACGUGUCGGCGGAAGGAGAGUACCCGUAGAACAAGCAUCGGCUAACUCCGUGCCAGCAGCCGCGGUAAUACGGAGGAUGCGAGCGUUAUCCGGAUUUAUUGGGUUUAAAGGGUGCGUAGGCGGGCUUUUAAGUCAGCGGUAAAAAUUCGGGGCUCAACCCCGUCCGGCCGUUGAAACUGGGGGCCUUGAGUGGGCGAGAAGAAGGCGGAAUGCGUGGUGUAGCGGUGAAAUGCAUAGAUAUCACACAGAACACCGAUUGCGAAGGCAUCUGACGAAUCGGAGAUUGACGCUGAUGCACGAAAGCGUGGGUAUCGAACAGGAUUAGAUACCCCUGUAC
rnacentral:rRNA from 1 species